CCUACGGGAGGCUGCAGUGAGGAAUAUUGGUCAAUGGACGAGAGUCUGAACCAGCCAAGUAGCGUGAAGGAUGACUGCCCUAUGGGUUGUAAACUUCUUUUAUAUGGGAAUAAAAUGUUCCACGUGUGGGCUUAGCGAGAGUACCUGAAGAAAAAGCAUCGGCUAACUCCGUGCCAGCAGCCGCGGUAAUACGGAGGAUGCGAGCGUUAUCCGGAUUUAUUGGGGUUAAAGGGUGCGUAGGCGGAAUAUCAAGUCAGCGGUAAAAAUUCGGGGCUCAACCCCGUCGUGCCGUUGAAACUGAUGUUCUUGAGUGGGCGAGAAGUAUGCGGAAUGCGUGGUGUAGCGGUGAAAUGCAUAGAUAUCACGCAGAACUCCGAUUGCGAAGGCAGCAUACCGGCGCCCAACUGACGCUGAAGCACGAAAGCGUGGGUAUCGAACAGGAUUAGAUACCCUUGUAGUC
rnacentral:rRNA from 1 species